rnacentral:misc_RNA from 1 species
AAGCUUUGCUUUACGCUUGUAUGAGUUAUUGUUUAAUUAAUUUUCUUUUCUUUUCCUUUUUUCAUCUGCCAGUGAGGUUGCCUGGUUCUUUUCUUCUCUUCUUUUAAACUGGUUUUCGCACGAAGUUUUUGGGAGUAAUGCUUGGUGGAAUAUUUGGCAUGUGGCAAUGAUGAUGUUCGAAUGUAAAAUAGCUGAAAGGUAGAGUUUGAUUAUUUGUUUAGCUUCCCAAAGACAGAGGGCGAUGCCAAAUAUAGGUGUUCUGUUACUUUCAAGCGUAAGGUUUAUGUCAGGAUUCAGAACCCACUAUAGUGAGGAACUAAUUCCCAAAAUCCCAGUCCUUGCUUUGCUCAUCAUUUUGGGGGACCAACCCCUUUUCAAUUUUCUCGUCUUCUCAUAUUUUACGUCUCCAUUUAU